rnacentral:rRNA from 1 species
UACGUAGGGUGCGAGCGUUGUCCGGAAUUAUUGGGCGUAAAGAGCUCGUAGGCGGUCUGUCACGUCGGAUGUGAAAACUCGGGGCUCAACCCCGAGCCUGCAUUCGAUACGGGCAGACUAGAGUUCGGUAGGGGAGACUGGAAUUCCUGGUGUAGCGGUGAAAUGCGCAGAUAUCAGGAGGAACACCGGUGGCGAAGGCGGGUCUCUGGGCCGAUACUGACGCUGAGGAGCGAAAGCGUGGGGAGCAAACAGG